AGAUCAUGUAAAUACACACAUGUUCUUUAACCUCUAAACCUCAUAUCAGGGCAGUUGGUCUAAGAGAAGAAGACUGACAUCUUCUUCAGCAGGAGAGAUGAUCCUCAUUUGUACUGAUCUCAGGAGGGCUGAUUUCAAGAUCUUAUAAGUGGACCUGAAGAGAUGUGAGCAAAUUCCUGGUGAAGGAGCAAUUUCCAGUAAAUGUUCUUGAUCUUCAAAAGCAGCAUAUACUAAAGAGACUCAAAACAAAAGACAUGACAAACUGCUUUGUUUGCAUCGAAUAUUUUAAAAUGCAUUUUAUUAUGUAUAAAGACAAUAUCAAGA